rnacentral:rRNA from 1 species
AGUGAACGCUGGCGGUAGGCCUAACACAUGCAAGUCGAACGGCAGCACAGUAAGAGCUUGCUCUUACGGGUGGCGAGUGGCGGACGGGUGAGGAAUACAUCGGAAUCUACUUUUUCGUGGGGGAUAACGUAGGGAAACUUACGCUAAUACCGCAUACGACCUACGGGUGAAAGCAGGGGAUCUUCGGACCUUGCGCGAUUGAAUGAGCCGAUGUCGGAUUAGCUAGUUGGCGGGGUAAAGGCCCACCAAGGCGACGCUCCGUAGCUGGUCUGAGAGGAUGAUCAGCCACACUGGAACUGAGACACGGUCCAGACUCCUACGGGAGGCAGCAGUAGGGAAUAUUGGACAAUGGGCGCAAGCCUGAUCCAGCCAUACCGCGUGGGUGAAGAAGGCCUUCGGGUUGUAAAGCCCUUUUGUUGGGAAAGAAAAGCAGCAGGUUAAUACCCCGCUGUUCUGACGGUACCCAAAGAAUAAGCACCGGCUAACUUCGUG